rnacentral:rRNA from 1 species
CACAUGCAAGUCGCACGAGAAAAGGGCUUCGGCCCCCAGUAAAGUGGCGGACGGGUGAGUAACACGUGGGUAAUCUACCUCUAGUGGGGAUAACAGUCCGAAAGGAUUGCUAAUACCGAAUACGUCACGGUGCCCUUCGGGGUGUCGUGGGAAAGCCGGCCUCUCCAUGGAAGCUGGCGCCGAGAGAGGAGCCCGCGGCCCAUCAGCUAGUUGGUAGGGUAACGGCCUACCAAGGCAAAGACGGGUAGCUGGUCUGAGAGGAUGAUCAGCCACACUGGGACUGAGACACGGCCCAGACUCCUACGGGAGGCAGCAGUGGGGAAUAUUGGGCAAUGGGCGCAAGCCUGACCCAGCCACGCCGCGUGAGUGAUGAAGGCCUUCGGGUCGUAAAGCUCUGUGGGGAGGGACGAAAAAACGCUGGCUAACAUCCAGCGGACUGACGGUACCUCCUUAGCAAGCACCGGCUAACUCCGUGCCAGCAGCCGCGGUAA